UCAAACUUGGUCAUUUAGAGGAAGUAAAAGUCGUAACAAGGUCUCCGUAGGUGAACCUGCGGAGGGAUCAUUACCGAGAGAGGGCCCCCCGGGCCCGACCUCCAACCCUUUGUGAUUAUACCUCUGUUGCCUCGGGGGCGACCCGGUCCUCCGGACGUCGGGGCCCCCGGCCGGCCACUUAUCAAACUCGCAUCUUUGCGUCGGAUACGAAAGUCAAUUGAUGAAAACUUUCAACAACGGAUCUCUUGGUUCUGGCAUCGAUGAAGAACGCAGC
rnacentral:misc_RNA from 1 species